GUGGUGCUGAGGAUCGAACCUGGGCCGCACGCAUGCCAGGCGAGCGGGCUACCACUUGAGCCACAUCCCCAGCCCCAGUAGGUUACUGGACUAAAGGGGACAAAAUUAAAGAACCAAGAUGGUCAGCAAUGCGAAAGGCGAUUACAGGCAAAAAUGACAAAGGAGAAAUCAAGAAAAUGGCAAGGCAGGGAUUAGGCAGAUGUAUGAAAUCUGGGAGGGUCUCUUAAAGGAAUAUGAAUUGUAAAGAAAGACUUUCAUUUACAGAAAGAUAAGGUCUAAUCGUCUAUUUAAAUUUAGGGGAUAGAUUUAUGCAUAUGCCUUUGUAAUUGAAAACAAAGUGGAAUUUUCAAGGCUUAUAUUAAAAAAACACUUGUCAUUUAACCUUUAGGAAGAAAUUUUUAGGAAUAUGCAAGGGAUGUUUAUUAAGAUUAAUAUGCUCUUUGAAACCUCAUAUCAGCUGAAUGUCCUGUCAAAACAAAGUUUGUCAGGCAAAAAUUAAGGCACUACUAGCUGGGCAUCAUGGCAUAUACCUGUAAUCCUAGCAACUCAGGAGGCUAAGGCAGGCCAGCCUCAGCAACCUAGAUUCUGUCUGAAAAGAAAAAAUAAAAAGAACUGAGGAAUAUACCUUAAUGGUAAAGUGCCCCUGGGUUCAAUCCCCAGUACCAAAAAAAAAAGCAGCUCCUACCAUCUCAUUGUCAUAAAUACGUUUAUUAUGUACCAAAGAAGGAGACCUAUCUGCUCACAGAUGUUUUGGUUGUAAUUUGGUUACUGUGCAAGUAUCCCUUGAGGCAUAUUAGAGUUUCAAGGAAUGAGAAUUAAUGACCUAGAAUAUAUUGAUAGUCAGUAGAACUGAUGAUGUAAGGAGCAUUUUAUUUGCAUUGCUCUUCCACUGGCACCCCCAUUCCAGGAGUAUCGGAUAGUCCAGAUUUGUGUGUUCAGGCCAACUUCACUUUCCAGAGGUCUCAUCUAGUAGGUGGAAAGAGAAAGGGUGAAGAGAUGGUAGUCUUCCAGUCAGUGUGUUACUAAAUCCAUACAAAUGUUAAAUUUCAAGGAAAGUUUUUCUGAAUGACAGUUCAGCUAGGGGCAGAGCCAUGAAGUCAUAAUGUGGCCCCUAUUGUAAAGAUGUCAUAGACUGUCAGGGAAGAUUCAGACCUGGACUCAGCAAAUAACUUUGGCAGAGCAGAAACCGCAAUAGGGGUUCACGCUAUAUUUAAGGCACUUAAAGUAUAAAUCCAUUGGUAUGAUGAAUUCCUAACAUGUCAGACACAGUUUAAAUUGUCUCAGAAACCUAGUGAGCUUAAAUCUACAGUUUGAAGUUGGGGAUAUACAGCUCAGUGGUAGCGUGCUUGUCUAGCAUGUGUAACCCCUUGGGUGCAAUCUCAAGCACCCAGGGGGAUUUAAAAAAAAAAAAAAAGAACUUUAAAACAGACAGCUUGAAGAAAACUGAUACUUCAGCUAGGCAGGGCUGAAAUGUAGGUUUAAACUUGGAUGGGGGGGCUGGGGUUGUAGCUCAAGGGUAGAGUGCUUACUUAGCAUGUGUGAGACAAACUUAAGUUUGAUCCUCAGCACCACACACACACACACAAAAAAAAGUUAUAAUAAAAAAAGUUAACACCAAUAUUCCAUUGGAACAGUUAAAAAAAAAAGACUCGGUAGUUUUA
rnacentral:lncRNA from 1 species